CCAAUCCCGGCCGCAUCCCAGCUGGACUUGUCCGGCUGGUUCGUUGCUGGCUACAGCGGGGGAGACAUAUAUCACAGCCUGUCUCGUGCCCGACCCCGCUGGAUCAUGUGGUGCCUACUCCUACUUUCUGUAGGGGUAGGCAUCUACCUGCUCCCCAACCGGUGAACGGGGAGCUA
rfam:Hepacivirus hominis isolate P1A12 polyprotein gene, complete cds